CUUGAAGUAGAUCCAACUGAACCCUGGAUAUUCUCGCUUGGAAAGAACACACAGUGUCAGUGAGUAAAACGCACGAUAAGCACGAGCAGGGGAAAUGAGAAACACAGAACAGGACGGACAAGAUCUCUCUUCCAGCGCUUAGCACAAAAUUGUUUUCUCAACAAGUCCGUGCUUUACAUCGAAAGGAGAGAGAAUUUUUGGGCUCGUCGCUCAAGGGAUGAGACAUAGACAAGAUGUGCACGUCUGGCCAUAAACUAAAAUUCCCAAGCUGUGAGGACUGAACGAGAAGAAAGAAAGAAAAAUGUUAGACUGGCUGGAAUGGACGCUAAUGUGGAGAGAGAGAGAGACAGAGAGAGAGAAAGACUAUCAGGGAGUAAGUGAUUAAAAGGAAGGAUGAAAGUCCAUUUCUGCUUGAGCAGCUGCAGCCCACAAAGCCAAUCUGUGUGUGUGAGCUUUCUCGCCGUGGGUGAUUGGAGCACAUUACACCCGAGAGCAAGCUUCAGCAGCAGUUAGCAGAAGAACACCUGCUUCGGGAUCAAAAUAUCAACAAAAGGCCACGUCCGCAGAGGUGAACGAGAACGGCAGCCACAAAGACUCAAUCUGUGGGUGGCGUUGAAAUCUAAUUGACAUCGGUGAGGUGCGGUGUGGUUCCUCACCACUGUCAACCACGACAAUAAUAAAUAUAUUGCUAAAAUCGGAACGCACAGGAGGUUAGGUGUUGAUUAACAGUGCUGUUGAGAUUACUAUUGAAUUACUCCUUCAUCAAUGGAAUUAAUUACCAGGGAACGUAACCGUUGUGUGACUUCAUCUCGUCGUUUCAAACUCAUCUUACAUUGCCCUUAAAAAAAAAGCCUCACAAAUUAUUUUUGAUUUUGAAAAAAAUACACCAGACGUGUAUGUGGCGCGAACAGCGAAGAGUCUUUGCAACUUCUGUUAUCAAGCCAGGCUAAACUUCGCCAUCCCCCACCAACCUACAAAGAUCAUAAAACAGCAACAUACUUCGUUGACAACUCACACUUUUCGGUUAGCCUACUCUUUGGCGCCACCUUGUGGCAAGUUAAGGCACGGCAGAAA